CCUACGGGUGGCAGCAGUGAGGAAUAUUGGUCAAUGGACGAAAGUCUGAACCAGCCAAGUAGCGUGAAGGAUGACUGCCCUAUGGGUUGUAAACUUCUUUUGUAUGGGGAUAAAAGCAUACACGUGUGUGAGUUUGUAUGUACCGUAUGAAUAAGGAUCGGCUAACUCCGUGCCAGCAGCCGCGGUAAUACGGAGGAUCCGAGCGUUAUCCGGAUUUAUUGGGUUUAAAGGGAGCGUAGGUGGAUGGUUAAGUCAGUUGUGAAAGUUUGCGGCUCAACAUCAAAAUUGCAGUUGAAACGGGCCGUCUUGAGUACAGUAGCGGUGGGCGGAAUGUGUGGUGUAGCGGUGAAAUGCUUAGAUAUCAUGAAGAACUCCGAUUGCGAAGGCAGCUUACUGGACUGCAACUGACAUUGAGGCUCGAAAGUGUGGGUAUCAAACAGGAUUAGAUACCCGAGUAGUC
rnacentral:rRNA from 1 species